UACGGGGGGAGCAAGCGUUGUUCGGAUUUACUGGGCGUAAAGGGCGCGUAGGCGGCCACCGCAAGUCAAUUGUGAAAUCUCCGGGCUUAACUCGGAAAGGUCAACUGAUACUGCGGGGCUAGAGUGCGGAAGGGGCAACUGGAAUUCUCGGUGUAGCGGUGGAAUGCGUAGAGAUCCGGAGGAACACCAGCGGCGAAGGCGGCAUCCUGGACUGGUCCUGACACUCAUGAGCGAAAGCGUGGGGAGCGAUCCGG
rnacentral:rRNA from 1 species